UACGGGGGGGGCAAGCGUUGUUCGGAAUUACUGGGCGUAAAGGGCUCGUAGGCGGCCAACUAAGUCAUACGUGAAAUCCCUCGGCUUAACCGGGGAACUGCGUCUGAUACUGGAUGGCUUGAGUUCGGGAGAGGGAUGCGGAAUUCCAGGUGUAGCGGUGAAAUGCGUAGAUAUCUGGAGGAACACCGGUGGCGAAGGCGGCAUCCUGGACCGAGUACUGACGCUGAGGAGCGAAAGCCAGGGGAGCAAAGCGGGG
rnacentral:rRNA from 1 species